GAGGAGCCCCCCGGGCGGGGGCGGGGCGGGCCGCUGCCCCUCCCCCCCAGGGGGGGGCUGAUGGAGGAGAUGAGCGCCAUGCUGGCCCGCAGGAGAAAAGCCGCGGAGGCGCCCAAAAAGGGACGAUGACGUCACCACCGAGGAGGCGGAGCCCGGCGCGCGGAGGGCGGGGCCGGCGGCGGGGUGAAGUCGGCCGCCCCUCCCCCCGAGCCCCACGGCGAGCUGGACCUGGAGCGCUUCA